rnacentral:rRNA from 1 species
CGCAGCCGCGGUAAUUCCAGCUCCAAUAGCGUAUAUUAAAGUUGUUGCAGUUAAAAAGCUCGUAGUUGAACUUCGGGGUCUACCCAUUGGUCAGGCUUAAUUGUCUGCACUGGUGGGAUGGAUCUCUACCUUCUGAGGAACUUUCAUGCCAUUUAUUUGGUGUGAUGGGAAAUCAGGACUGUUACUUUGAAAAAAUUAGAGUGUUUAAAGCAGACUAUCGUCUGAAUACAUUAGCAUGGAAUAAUGAAAUAGGACGGACUGAUUCUAUUUCGUUGGUUUCUAGGAUCACCGUAAUGAUUAAUAGGGAUAGUUGGGGGCAUUAGUAUUCAAUUGUCAGAGGUGAAAUUCUUGGAUUUAUUGAAGACUAACUACUGCGAAAGCAAUUUGCCAAGGAUGUUUUCAUUAAUCAAGACGAAAGUUAGGGGAUCGAAGACGAUCAGAUACCGUCGUAGUCUUAACCAUAAACUAUGCCGACUAGGGAUCGGACGAAGUUAAUUUUAUAAUGAACGCG